GUUGGAAACUCUGACACCCUAGAAGGUGUCGAAGUGUGUUAAUCGGGUGUUUUUGGGUGUUUUUCGGUGCAUUGACGUUUUUGACAAUUGAUGUGAUAGACGUCAUGUUUUUUUUCAAAAUUCUGGCAACACUUUCGAAAUUCUCUCACCAUCGUUUGUUUUGAUAUUGACUUUAACGCCGGUGGUGUACAAUCGAAGCGGUCGAAACCAAAAUCGGUCUACCUUGCCGGGCCGGAUGUAGCGGAUUAACGAUUCCUGAAUCGAAAGGAAUCGCCGAUGAAACAAAUUCUUCUUGAGCAGGUUGCUAUUGCAGUCGAAAAAUUUGGAUCGGUUUGGAAGCGACACCAGGGGAGGUUGCGCCGGAGAAAGACGCGUUAUUCUUUUGAAAGACGAUGGGGUGAAACUGAUUUGACGACGAUGAUCGGAUACUCAGGAGUGUUUUCCUUUUGCGGUUUCAGAGAGGAUUUGAUUUGGCGUAGUACUUUUGAAGAUUCCCUGUCAAGCGAAAACAGCGAAACAUACUGCGGGAAUUGACAACCGUGCAGGUGUUCCAUCAUGUGCGACCGCAAGUAAUAGGAAUGGUCAAAGAGCAUCGAGCCAUGUAACAGGAAUCGUGCGAUCUAAUGUGUCUGUAAAGGCACAGGACAAGGGACACCUUAUACCCAAGCUUAUACCUCGAUACGGCGAAGAACGCCUCCUACCGCAGUUUUCACAGUUGUAUCGCCGCUCGUUUGCAUGGUAGUUGAGAUGAUCUUCGAAGCGGCACCAAAAUAAAAUGUUGAUGGCCAAGGACCAAAAUAGAAAUUCCUGGGUAUGGGAUACUUCCUGGGUAAGAUUCUUGUUUCUUCGGAACAAAAUUCAAAAGAUGCGAUGUACUAAUAAUUUAAUGUAAAAAAAAUCAAAAUUGAUACAUAUUCCUGCGCGGAAAAGUGUCCUAACCAUA